GUGGGGAAUAUUGGACAAUGGGCGAAAGCCUGAUCCAGCAAUGCCGCGUGAGUGAAGAAGGCCUUCGGGUUGUAAAGCUCUUUUACCCGGGAAGAUAAUGACUGUACCGGGAGAAUAAGCCCCGGCUAACUCCGUGCCAGCAGCCGCGGUAAUACGGAGGGGGCUAGCGUUGUUCGGAAUUACUGGGCGUAAAGCGCACGUAGGCGGUCUUUUAAGUCAGAGGUGAAAGCCCGGGGCUCAACUCCGGAAUUGCCUUUGAAACUGGAAGACUUGAACACGGGAGAGGUGAGUGGAAUUCCGAGUGUAGAGGUGAAAUUCGUAGAUAUUCGGAGGAACACCAGUGGCGAAGGCGGCUCACUGGACCGUUGUUGACGCUGAGGUGCGAAAGCGUGGGGAGCAAACAGGAUUAGAAACCCCUGUAGUCC
rnacentral:rRNA from 1 species